rnacentral:tRNA from 1 species
GGGGCUGAAUGGGGUACUGGUGUCCUCCACAGUCUUCAAAACUGCUUGAGCGGUGCGUGCCAUCGCUGGUGGGUUCGAUUCCCACACAGUCCCGCCA